GGGUUGUGAGGUUAAGCGACUAAGCGUACACGGUGGAUGCCCUGGCAGUCAGAGGCGAUGAAGGACGUGCUAAUCUGCGAUAAGCGUCGGUAAGGUGAUAUGAACCGUUAUAACCGGCGAUUUCCGAAUGGGGAAACCCAGUGUGUUUCGACACACUAUCAUUAACUGAAUCCAUAGGUUAAUGAGGCGAACCGGGGGAACUGAAACAUCUAAGUACCCCGAGGAAAAGAAAUCAACCGAGAUUCCCCCAGUAGCGGCGAGCGAACGGGGAGGAGCCCAGAGCCUGAAUCAGUGUGUGUGUUAGUGGAAGCGUCUGGAAAGGCGCGCGAUACAGGGUGACAGCCCCGUACACAAAAAUGCACAUGCUGUGAGCUCGAUGAGUAGGGCGGGACACGUGGUAUCCUGUCUGAAUAUGGGGGGACCAUCCUCCAAGGCUAAAUACUCCUGACUGACCGAUAGUGAACCAGUACCGUGAGGGAAAGGCGAAAAGAACCCCGGCGAGGGGAGUGAAAAAGAACCUGAAACCGUGUACGUACAAGCAGUGGGAGCACGCUUAGGCGUGUGACUGCGUACCUUUUGUAUAAUGGGUCAGCGACUUAUAUUCUGUAGCAAGGUUAACCGAAUAGGGGAGCCGAAGGGAAACCGAGUCUUAACUGGGCGUUAAGUUGCAGGGUAUAGACCCGAAACCCGGUGAUCUAGCCAUGGGCAGGUUGAAGGUUGGGUAACACUAACUGGAGGACCGAACCGACUAAUGUUGAAAAAUUAGCGGAUGACUUGUGGCUGGGGGUGAAAGGCCAAUCAAACCGGGAGAUAGCUGGUUCUCCCCGAAAGCUAUUUAGGUAGCGCCUCGUGAAUUCAUCUCCGGGGGUAGAGCACUGUUUCGGCAAGGGGGUCAUCCCGACUUACCAACCCGAUGCAAACUGCGAAUACCGGAGAAUGUUAUCACGGGAGACACACGGCGGGUGCUAACGUCCGUCGUGAAGAGGGAAACAACCCAGACCGCCAGCUAAGGUCCCAAAGUCAUGGUUAAGUGGGAAACGAUGUGGGAAGGCCCAGACAGCCAGGAUGUUGGCUUAGAAGCAGCCAUCAUUUAAAGAAAGCGUAAUAGCUCACUGGUCGAGUCGGCCUGCGCGGAAGAUGUAACGGGGCUAAACCAUGCACCGAAGCUGCGGCAGCGACGCUUAUGCGUUGUUGGGUAGGGGAGCGUUCUGUAAGCCUGUGAAGGUGUACUGUGAGGUAUGCUGGAGGUAUCAGAAGUGCGAAUGCUGACAUAAGUAACGAUAAAGCGGGUGAAAAGCCCGCUCGCCGGAAGACCAAGGGUUCCUGUCCAACGUUAAUCGGGGCAGGGUGAGUCGACCCCUAAGGCGAGGCCGAAAGGCGUAGUCGAUGGGAAACAGGUUAAUAUUCCUGUACUUGGUGUUACUGCGAAGGGGGGACGGAGAAGGCUAUGUUGGCCGGGCGACGGUUGUCCCGGUUUAAGCGUGUAGGCUGGUUUUCCAGGCAAAUCCGGAAAAUCAAGGCUGAGGCGUGAUGACGAGGCACUACGGUGCUGAAGCAACAAAUGCCCUGCUUCCAGGAAAAGCCUCUAAGCAUCAGGUAACAUCAAAUCGUACCCCAAACCGACACAGGUGGUCAGGUAGAGAAUACCAAGGCGCUUGAGAGAACUCGGGUGAAGGAACUAGGCAAAAUGGUGCCGUAACUUCGGGAGAAGGCACGCUGAUAUGUAGGUGAAGUCCCUCGCGGAUGGAGCUGAAAUCAGUCGAAGAUACCAGCUGGCUGCAACUGUUUAUUAAAAACACAGCACUGUGCAAACACGAAAGUGGACGUAUACGGUGUGACGCCUGCCCGGUGCCGGAAGGUUAAUUGAUGGGGUUAGCGCAAGCGAAGCUCUUGAUCGAAGCCCCGGUAAACGGCGGCCGUAACUAUAACGGUCCUAAGGUAGCGAAAUUCCUUGUCGGGUAAGUUCCGACCUGCACGAAUGGCGUAAUGAUGGCCAGGCUGUCUCCACCCGAGACUCAGUGAAAUUGAACUCGCUGUGAAGAUGCAGUGUACCCGCGGCAAGACGGAAAGACCCCGUGAACCUUUACUAUAGCUUGACACUGAACAUUGAGCCUUGAUGUGUAGGAUAGGUGGGAGGCUUUGAAGUGUGGACGCCAGUCUGCAUGGAGCCGACCUUGAAAUACCACCCUUUAAUGUUUGAUGUUCUAACGUUGACCCGUAAUCCGGGUUGCGGACAGUGUCUGGUGGGUAGUUUGACUGGGGCGGUCUCCUCCUAAAGAGUAACGGAGGAGCACGAAGGUUGGCUAAUCCUGGUCGGACAUCAGGAGGUUAGUGCAAUGGCAUAAGCCAGCUUGACUGCGAGCGUGACGGCGCGAGCAGGUGCGAAAGCAGGUCAUAGUGAUCCGGUGGUUCUGAAUGGAAGGGCCAUCGCUCAACGGAUAAAAGGUACUCCGGGGAUAACAGGCUGAUACCGCCCAAGAGUUCAUAUCGACGGCGGUGUUUGGCACCUCGAUGUCGGCUCAUCACAUCCUGGGGCUGAAGUAGGUCCCAAGGGUAUGGCUGUUCGCCAUUUAAAGUGGUACGCGAGCUGGGUUUAGAACGUCGUGAGACAGUUCGGUCCCUAUCUGCCGUGGGCGCUGGAGAACUGAGGGGGGCUGCUCCUAGUACGAGAGGACCGGAGUGGACGCAUCACUGGUGUUCGGGUUGUCAUGCCAAUGGCACUGCCCGGUAGCUAAAUGCGGAAGAGAUAAGUGCUGAAAGCAUCUAAGCACGAAACUUGCCCCGAGAUGAGUUCUCCCUGACUCCUUGAGAGUCCUGAAGGAACGUUGAAGACGACGACGUUGAUAGGCCGGGUGUGUAAGCGCAGCGAUGCGUUGAGCUAACCGGUACUAAUGAACCGUGAGGCUUAACCUUACAACGCCGAAGCUGUU
rnacentral:rRNA from 2 species